ACUCCAUCUCAAAAAAUACAUUAAAAUUUUAAAUAAAUAAAUAACAGAGCUGUUUAAAUGAUUCUCAACCUGGGCUUCAAGUUAAAGUCCCCAGGGAACUUUAAAAUACUGAUGCUUGGUCCCCACCCCCAGGAAUUCUGAUUGAAUUGUCCCUAGAUAAUUUUAAUGUCCAGUCAGGGCUGAGAACCCUUACUCUAAGUCUUCUCAGCCUUCUCAAUCAAGCCUUUGCCUCCUAUCACAUCAUGUAUCCUUUUCUCUUCUAAACACCUGCCACUUUUGAAGCCAGUAUAUUCUACAUUACCUGUUCUCCCAAAUGGAUCAUAAAGCCCUUCAGAGCUGAAGUCACCUUUUAUUCAUCAUCUUCUUUUAAUCUCCCACAGUGUCUCCAUAGUGCCAAAUCGUAAGAGAGCAAUACUAGCCAAUAUAUACAAAGGACCCAUUAUAUAAUUCUAUAUUCCCUACUAGGGACAGCAUUAUUAUGCCAAUUUUACAAAUGAAGAAACUGAAGUCUUCAGAGAGAUUAAGUGGCUUGUCACAAAUUACAUGACUAAUAAAUGACAACUGUACCUCAUCCCAGAUUCACCUGACUCCAAGCUCUUCACUCUUGCAAAACAGCAGCAACAACAAAGACGUGUAAAUGAUUAGGUUCUAAAUAACUUGACUUCAAUUAAAUGCUUUUUAAAAUUAAACAAUCAUUUGUAUCAGCAAGUGGGCCAUUGAAAUGGUGGUUGUAAAAAUAAAGGUAAGAGAAACGAAGGUCAGAACGCACUUGGUCUUAUUUUUCAAUUAGCCAAAAUAAUGCAACGAAAACCUACGGCUUCUCAUUUUAAGGAAAGUUUUCUAAAACAGCUUUAGGUUGAGAGUCUUUAGAUGAUAAACUACUCCUUUGCCUUCCUAGAAAUGAAUCUUACCGACAUGUUCCAUUAUCUUUCCAUGAAAAGAAAUUUUUUUUUAAAGGUAAAAGGAAAUCACCACAUAAGUUGAUGAUUUCUUUUGGGGAACCUUCAUUCGGGACGAUGACUCAAGGGGAAGAACAGCCACUUCAUUCUGACAUUACAACACGAUACCAGGUAAACAUUAUGGAGAUGGAUUUCCUAAGCAGACUAUUCAUCUAAAAAAAAAAAAAGAAAAGAAAGAAAAGAAAAAAAAAAGAAUUCAAUCCUCUGGGCUUCCACAUGCCUCCGUUCUCCAGGUAGAAGGAACAAGAGCCAUAUACUGAAGUUGAAGUCAAGAGAUGGGAAAAGAGAUUCAGAAAAGUAAAGCGGAAUAACUGGGAGUAAUAUAUUCUAAAGGAUAUUCACAUGCAAAUAGAACCAAGACUAAAUGAUGACAGAUGUGCUGGCCAAGGCAGUGAAUUAGCAGCAUGUCUGUGUGACUUAGUGACGUGACUUCAGUAAAGACAUGGAGAGCCUUCCAGCCUCUGCUAUUCAAGCUGAUUGCAGUUGUGAAAUACACAUGCCUUUGCUAUAAGGGGAAAUGGAGCAGUCCUAACUUCCUCCUUCUUUGUGAGUUUGCUUUGUUAAAUAAACUAUGGAACUUAUGGAGGUGGCUGAGAGAGAAAGUUUUUGUUUGCCCUUGAACACUGCUUCAACCUGUGGGGGACAACUGAACUAAGCUAAGGACCAUCAGAGAACUUAAAUACAAAACCUCCUGAUAUUCAAGCUAAUGCUGUAACAACAAAGUUAACUUGAGCAAACUUUGAACAAUUCCCUUGCAGGCCCUGUUCUGGAAUCUCUCCAGUGGUGACCCUCAAACUUUAGCAUACAAAAAUAAGAAUCUGCUAAAGAACUGAUCAACCAUGCAGAUUUCUGAGCGCCACCCUCCUGAGAUUCUGAUUCAUUGGUUUGAGCACAGCUAGAAUCUGCAUUAUAAUAACGCCAAGGGUUCAGAUGUAGUCCACCUAAGGACACUCUGAGACAAGCAACAACUGCCUUGUGAACUUCGAGCCAAUGGAAAACCCGACUGAGAAACCUGUCUCAUCAUUAAGCCAACUUUAUAAUCUCAAGUCGUGAUGCAUACUUGGUGCUCACUCAAAUGGAAGUAGAAGGAGAAUGUGAGUCAAUGUGGUUCUAUCUGCAAUUUUCCACUUCCACCUGCAGGGAAAUGAUUUAUCCAUAAUGCAGGAAGGUCAAGGUUCCCAGGAUAGCACAAGUCAACAUUUUCCUUCUUACUACUAUGUAAACAAGUUUUUCAAGGCACUUUAGAUUUAAAAAGUUAACAAAGAGGAAAGACAAAGGAGGAAAGAAGGAAGAGAAGGAUUUUCACAGGAAAAAUAAAAGAAAGGUAAUCUUGCUAAAGUAAGUAGGACGAACUGGACUAUACCUGCUGAAUAAUUAUAGGGUACGCUUCAGAAGGCACACACUCAGCGAAGCCAGACACACUGGCCAGUAACGAGAUAGCAAGAGUUGGGAAUUAUUCAUUUUCUGGCCUCAUAUUAUCUGCAGAGUCCAUGAGGGUUUAGGAGGAUGGUCUUUUUCAGAAAUCUUAAUCUGUAUCAAAUGGAGGAAUGGAAUUGCAUCUCAGUGAGAUCUUGCUGUCCCGAUUCUUCUUCAGCCACCUGUAUGCCUACCAUGGGUUUGCAAAUUCUGCCCUGGGUCUGGUUACUACAUUAAGAAUAUAUCUUACUGUCAAUAUCAGGGUUCCUAUUAAACUGUUCUCCUAUGCAGUUCCCAAAUAUUAGACACAUAAGGAAAAGUGCUUUCCUAAAAAUGCUUUACUUUUUACCUUCAACAAGGGAACAACAGUUAGCUUCAACUUUCAACAGUUUUAGAAUACUUUGCAUUUUAAAAGCUUCUUGCAUUUGAACACAUCUCAAAAUCUUGGCCUCACUCUCUUUUCUCAAUGCAUAAAUGUGGUUACGAUCCCUGGGGGUUUUCACAUGCUUUUAUACCAGGUGACUGUGUAUUAAACGAGCUAAGGUAAAGUUGAUCCAUGAUAAUUAACAGGAAUAAGAUUUUAGGGGAAAAAAUCCUAAAACCUGUUUCUUAAAUGAAGCCAUCAAUCAUGGCAGAGGAGCCACAUGUUGGGCACAAAGCCAACACCCACACGGCUCUUUCUGGGACAAGGCUUUUGGUCAAGGGCAAGGUAUUCCCCACAAGAAGAGAGCUGAAUAUGUCUCCCAUUUUGCUAGUCUCUUAUAUUAGCAUAACUUUUAGUCUUAUGGAGGCAAACCUUCCCUGUUCCAGAGCCUUACUUCCAAUGAAGUAGGCAAGGCAACAAACACUCAAAGAAGUUAAGGGACUGCUUAAGCCUAACAAAUCUUGCAGGUGGUAGAGGUGGAAUGAGAACUGAGUUUAUGCUUAGGAAAGUAGACUGUGGUCUUUUUUCCUAAAGAAAGUUGCUUUGAGUAGGUACAAUGGGCAGUAGGUCACCAUUUAAAGAGGAAAGAAAUCCGUGACCAAUCAUAACUUGCUAUGCUUGUAAUUCCCACCACCUUAAAGCACAUAGGAAGUGUUUAGUUCGAUUGAAAGAUCAGUUACUUGAGAGAAUAACAUACAAACUAAACCUUAGUACAGUGUGAUAUUCCUACAUCAGACUAAUCUAUAUCCACCUAAUUUCAUACAGGGACACUGAGGAAGUGAAGCCCAGACUACCCUGUAGAUGCAUAGGAAGCUAAGGAAGAUAAUGGGUCCCAAAAAAGCAAUGGUGGGAAUUGGGGUCCAGUCCUUUUCCAGGAGGGAUGGAGUGUAAAAAGAAUAUUAAUAAAAUUAGGUGUUCAAGGCUAGUUUCCGAAAAAACAUUUUGAAUCAAACCUCUGUCCCAAGGACAGAAUAAAACACUCUGUGCUUUGGGAUACCCUAGGACCAACUUCAUCCAUUUCUCAGUUUUUCUUAGAUUAGGACAAUAAUAAGUAGUUUAAAUGCAUGUUGGCUACCAACAAAAGUUAACAAAUAAAGCCUGCCUAAAUUGAUGUGAAGA
rnacentral:lncRNA from 1 species